rnacentral:pre_miRNA from 7 species
UUUUGGGAUGACCCCCAAAGGGAGACCCUCACUCAAGCCUCGGGACAGCCGAGGACCCAAGAAGACACUGAGACCG